rnacentral:rRNA from 1 species
CCUACGGGAGGCAGCAGUGAGGAAUUUUGGUCAAUGGACGAGAGUCUGAACCAGCCACGUAGCGUGAAGGAUGACUGCCCUAUGGGUUGUAAACUUCUUUUAUAAAGGAAUAAAACGAGGCACGUGUGCCUUUUUGCAUGUACUUUAUGAAUAAGGAUCGGCUAACUCCGUGCAAGCAGCCGCGGUAAUACGGAGGAUCCGAGCGUUAUCCGGAUUUAUUGGGUGUAAAGGGCGCGUAGAUGGGUUGUUAAGUCAGUUGUGAAAGUUUGCGGCUCAACCGUAAAAUUGCAAUUGAUACUGGAAGUCUUGAGUAAAGUUGAGGUAGGCGGAAUUCGUGGUGUAGCAGUGAAAUGCGUAGAUAUCACGAAGAACCCUGAGUGCGAAGGCAGCUUACUAAACUGUGACUGACAUUGAUGCACGAAGGUGAGGGGAUCAAACAGGAUUAGAUACCCGAGUAGUC